UGGGGGAUAUUGCACAAUGGGGGAAACCCUGACGGAGCAACGCCGCGUGGACGAUGAAGGCCGGAAGGUUGUAAAGUCCUUUUAUGACAGAGGAAUAAGCGUGGGAGUGGAAAGCCCAUGUGAUGACUGUAGGUCAUGAAUAAGCACCGGCUAAUUACGUGCCAGCAGCCGCGGUAACACGUAAGGUGCGAGCGUUGUUCGGAAUCAUUGGGCGUAAAGGGCAUGUAGGCGGUCUGUCAAGCCAGGCGUGAAAGCCAGGGGCUCAACCCCUGAACUGCGCUUGGAACUGGCGGACUGGAGUCG
rnacentral:rRNA from 1 species